rnacentral:rRNA from 1 species
UACGAAGGGGGCUAGCGUUGCUCGGAAUCACUGGGCGUAAAGCGCACGUAGGCGGCUUCUUAAGUCAGGGGUGAAAUCCUGGAGCUCAACUCCAGAACUGCCUUUGAUACUGAGGAGCUCGAGUCCGGGAGAGGUGAGUGGAACUCCGAGUGUAGAGGUGAAAUUCGUAGAUAUUCGGAAGAACACCGGUGGCGAAGGCGGCCCACUGGAUCGGUACUGACGCUGAGGUGCGAAAGCGUGGGGAGCAAACAGG